GAUGAAGAACGUAGCGAAAUGCGAUACGUAAUGUGAAUUGCAGAAUUCAGUGAAUCAUCGAGUCUUUGAACGCACAUUGCGCCCCCUGGUAUUCCGGGGGGCAUGCCUGUCCGAGCGUCAUUGCUGCCCUCAAGCACGGCUUGUGUGUUGGGCCUCCGUCCUCCUCCCGGGGGACGGGCCCGAAAGGCAGCGGCGGCACCGCGUCCGGUCCUCGAGCGUAUGGGGCUUCGUCACCCGCUCUUGUAGGCCCGGUCGGCGCUUGCCGACACAUCAAUCUUUUUUCCAGGUUGACCUCGGAUCAGGUAGGGAUACCCGCUGAACUUAAGCAUAUCAAUAAGCAGGA
rnacentral:misc_RNA from 1 species